rnacentral:rRNA from 1 species
CAGCCGCCGCGGUAACACGUAGGGGGCGAGCGUUAUCCGGAUUCAUUGGGCGUAAAGCGCGCGCAGGCGGCGCGCCAAGCGGGACCUCUAAUCUGGGGGCUCAACCCCCAGCCGGGUCCCGAACUGGCGCGCUCGUGUCCGGUAGGGGAGGUCGGAAUUCCCGGUGUAGCGGUGGAAUGCGCAGAUAUCGGGAGGAACACCGAUGGCGAAGGCAGACCUCUGGGCCGCGACAGACGCUGAGGCGCGAAAGCUAGGGGAGCGAACAGGAUUAGAUACCCUGGUAGUCCUAGCCGUAAACGAUGAUAGCUAGGUGUGGGGGGGACCGCCCCUCCGUGCCGCAGCCAACGCAUUAAGCUAUCCGCCUGGGGAGUACGGCCGCAAGGCUAAAACUCAAAGGAAUUGACGGGGGCCCGCACAAGCAGCGGAGCAUGUGGCUUAAUUCGAAGCAACGCGAAGAACCUUACCAGGGCUUGACAUGCGCAUGAAGCCGGGGAAACCCGGUGGCCGAGAGGAGUGCGCGCAGGUGGUGCAUGGCC